rnacentral:ncRNA from 2 species
UUCUUAUUGAGAGAGACGGAGGGACUGGCCCUACGAUGUCUCGGCAGCGGACUUAGAACGAAGUGCUGUGCCAAAUCCAGCAGGGAUUACCCUGAGAAAUAAGAA